rnacentral:rRNA from 1 species
UACAGAGGUCUCAAGCGUUGUUCGGAUUCAUUGGGCGUAAAGGGUGUGUAGGUGGCGCCGUAAGUCGGGUGUGAAAUUUCGGAGCUUAACUCCGAAACUGCAUUCGAUACUGCGGUGCUUGAGGACUGGAGAGGAGACUGGAAUUCAUGGUGUAGCAGUGAAAUGCGUAGAGAUCAUGAGGAAGACCAGUGGCGAAGGCGGGUCUCUGGACAGUUCCUGACGCUGAGGCACGAAGGCCAGGGGAGCAGACGGG